AGCUGUGAUAGCGUGCCAAGCACUGCAUUAGGGACUAGGGGUGGGGAUGAUGAAGGCAGGGGCUGCUCCUGUAGCUGAGAUCUGGGGUUGACCUUCGGAGUCAGUGUGAGGAGGUCAGAGUACUGAGUGUCCUCCAAGCCUCACUUUUCCCCCUGCGGUCCGGCAGAGAAUGGUGGCGUCACCCUAGAGCGAGGAUUUGCAGGAUUCCUCUGCUUGCUCUUCACAGUCCCUGAAGGAUUUUGUUAGUUCUCCAUUACUUUUGUUACCUGAGACCCAUCUUUUCAUCCUGUUCCUCCUCUUCCUUGACGACCUGGGAUGUUUCCACACUGAGACAAAGAGGAAGAGACACAUCUAAGCAAUUCUCUACAGAUAGUCUCACUCAUCUCUGUCCUGAGUUCUCCUUGUGACAAGUCCAAAAGCUUGGCCACAGUCCUGAGGCAAAAAGUUUCAUGGAAACUGGUCUCUUGGAGUCUUUGGCAUCCCAUAACAUGGAUGUGGUCCAGAUAUGUCCUUGCAAUAGUCGUGAAGGGUUUAGUGUGCUUUCUUUCAAUAUUGUUUUUAUUAUAAGUGCCUCCAAGGAAUGAUUUGACAAAUAGCUAAGUUAGAUUGAACAUUGCUUCCUGGCCUCUACCAGUGUUCCAAUAUCCUAGGAAAUUGUUGAGCUGACCUUGGGCUUUGAAUUUCGUAAGAAUGUUACUUAUUCAGACAAAAUGCCUCCAGUGUUGAAAGAGAGAUAGUGAAAGAAAUCAGGCAUUGCAGUUUACUGGUUAAGAGUAGAAAUCUCAGAACAAGUUCUACAAAAUAAACUUGGAAUUCUCACUACAGUCAGGUAUGGCAGACUACAUUACAUAUUAAAAGAAAGUUGGUGGGCUCCUCUGUUAAAUGGAGGUUCCCUAUGGAUACUUAGAAUAACAACCAAGUCACACCCAUAUGCAGGAAUUUACAAUGGUCUAGGAAAAAGGAGGGUUGUGGUUUAAGAAGGAACUAGAGUAAAUACUUAGAAUAACAGCCAAGUCACUUCCAUAUACAGAAAUUUACAAUGGCCUAGGGAGAAGGUGGAUUAUACGAUAGACUAGAAUUGGAACUAUAGCUAGGGCGUGAAACCCUUGCCCCUGGCUUCUAAGAAUAAGCUGACCUUAGGUAGGUAUGAUUUUUAUCUCAGUUGUAAACACUGCCUGGUUCUUGCUAGCUUUUAUGUAUACAUUCCUCUGUUUUGUGUCAUUAUGCAUCAGAUGACUUCAAUGUAUCUUGGCUGAUGUGUCACCUGACUUCCUUGUUUUCUUCUGUAAUAUAAGUCUAAUGCUUGCUUUGAGACAUUACAUUCAGAUUCAACACUC
rnacentral:lncRNA from 1 species